AACUGCGAGUGAAGCGGCAAAAGCUCAAAUUUGAAAUCGGUGUGCCUGAAGUACAUCGAGUUGUAAUUUGGAGGGACAACUUCGGACUGAACCACACCGUAAGUUUCUUGGAACAGGACAUCAUAGAGGGUGAGAAUCCCGUGUCUUGGUGUAGGGUCAAACCAUGUGAAGUGUCUCCGACGAGUCGAGUUGUUUGGGAAUGCAGCUCAAAAUGGGUGGUAAAUUUCAUCUAAAGCUAAAUAUUGGCGAGAGACCGAUAGCGCACAAGUAGAGUGAUCGAAAGAUGAAAAGCACUUUGAAAAGAGAGUUAAAAAGUACGUGAAAUUGUUGAAAGGGAAGCGCUUACGACCAGACUCGAUCUUUGGUGAUCAGCCGGAUUUCGGUUCGGUGCCCUCGCCAUUGAUUGGGCCAGCAUCGGUUCUGACGGUGGGAUAAAAGGAGGAGGAAUGUAGCUCCCCUCGGGGAGUGUUAUAGCCUCCUUCACAAUGCUGCCAGUUGGGACCGAGGACCGCGCUUCGGCUAGGAUGCUGGUGUAAUGGUCUUAAGCGACCCGUCUUGAAACACGGACCAAGGAGUCUAACAUCUAUGCGAGUGUUCGGGUGGAAAACCCCUGCGCGUAAUGAAAGUGAACGGAGGUGUGAACCCUUCACGGGGUGCAACAUCGACCGGUCCUGAUGUCUUCGGAAGGAUCUGAGUAAGAGCAUAGCUGUUGGGACCCGAAAGAUGGUGAACUAUGCCUGAAUAGGGUGAAGCCAGAGGAAACUCUGGUGGAGGCUCGCAGCGGUUCUGACGUGCAAAUCGAUCGUCAAAUUUGGGUAUAGGGGCGAAAGACUAAUCGAACCAUCUAGUAGCUGGUUCCUG
rnacentral:rRNA from 1 species